rnacentral:rRNA from 1 species
UACGUAGGGUGCGAGCGUUGUCCGGAAUUAUUGGGCGUAAAGAGCUCGUAGGCGGUCUGUCGCGUCGGCUGUGAAAACUCGGGGCUCAACCCCGAGCCUGCAGUCGAUACGGGCAGACUAGAGUGCUGUAGGGGAGACUGGAAUUCCUGGUGUAGCGGUGAAAUGCGCAGAUAUCAGGAGGAACACCGAUGGCGAAGGCAGGUCUCUGGGCCACUACUGACGCUGAGAAGCGAAAGCAUGGGGAGCGAACAGG